CCAAGAUCGUGUGCUAAGGGUUUUCAACUGCAUCUCUAAAGGGAAGGCCAAAGAAAGAGCAACAGGAAAGGAUGUGGCAGUCUGUUAAAGAAAUACUUCAUUGUCACUGAACACAGAGUCAUUAAAGGCACCUUGGAAAUUUGGACGCUUUUACUAGAAUCAGGGCUUAAAUAGCAACUUAAUUUAUGACACUUCUCGAGGCUGAUGGCGUUUUUGCUCUAAGACCUGCCUUGCAAGAAAUGUUAAAAGAAGUGCUUUAGAGAGCAGGAAAAUUCUAUAGGUCAGACACUUGGAUCUACAUAAAAAAAGGAAGAAACCAAAGGAGAAAUAAGUGAAAGCAUGGAAACCUUAUUCCACACAUUGCCUGGUGCCCUGUCCAGGGCUGCAAGGUGCACUGUGUCUCCUCUGCCCAGCAAACCACAAGCCCCUCCAGGGUGAGAUGAGAGCCUUCCCUUCCCUUGCUCCUCCCUUCAACACAGGGAGCUGGAGCUGGACAGCCCCACAGGCACUCAGGGCUUGAAGAAGAUAUUUAGAAAUAUCAAAGCAGAAGAGCCUCGGAGAUAAUCUGAACUAUUUCUGAGUUUAUAUAAGGGAAAACUGAGACUCACCUGGGAGAACUAACAUGUCUAAUAUCACAAUGGAAAUUUGUAAUAAAACCACAAAUUGAGUCAAAUCUCCUGA
rnacentral:lncRNA from 1 species